rnacentral:rRNA from 1 species
UAGCAUAUCAAUAAGCGGAGGAAAAGAAACCAACAGGGAUUGCCCUAGUAACGGCGAGUGAAGCGGCAACAGCUCAAAUUUGAAAUCUGGCUCUUUCAGAGUCCGAGUUGUAAUUUGCAGAGGGCGCUUUGGCGUUGGCAGCGGUCCAAGUUCUUUGGAACAGGACGUCACAGAGGGUGAGAAUCCCGUACGUGGUCGCUAGACUUCGCCGUGUAAAGCCCCUUCGACGAGUCGAGUUGUUUGGGAAUGCAGCUCUAAAUGGGAGGUAAAUUUCUUCUAAAGCUAAAUACUGGCCAGAGACCGAUAGCGCACAAGUAGAGUGAUCGAAAGAUGAAAAGCACUUUGGAAAGAGAGUCAAAUAGCACGUGAAAUUGUUGAAAGGGAAGCGCUUGCAGCCAGACUUGCCUGUAGUUGCUUAUCCAGACUUUUGUCUGGUGCACUCUUCUAUAGGCAGGCCAGCAUCAGUUUGGGCGGUUGGAUAAAGGUCUCUAUCACGUACCUCUCUUCGGGGAGGCCUUAUAGGGGAGACGACAUACAACCAGCCUGGACUGAGGUCCGCGCAUCUGCUAGGAUGCUGGCGUAAUGGCUGUAAGCGGCCCGUCUUGAAACACGGACCAAGGAGUCUAACAUCUAUGCGAGUGUUUGGGUGUCAAGCCCAUACGCGUAAUGAAAGUGAACGGAGGUGGGAACCUUUUAGGUGCACCAUCGACCGAUCCUGAUGUCUUCGGAUGGAUUUGAGUAAGAGCAUGGCUGUUGGGACCCGAAAGAUGGUGAACUAUGCUUGAAUAGGGUGAAGCCAGAGGAAACUCUGGUGGAGGCUCGCAGCGGUUCUGACGUGCAAAUCGAUCGUCAAAUUUGGGCAUAGGGGCGAAAGACUAAUCG